CCCAAUCUGAUGUCGAUGCCCUGAUAGAGGCAGACAAGAAAGCUGGAGGUGACUAUGGAAGAACUCAGUCUGUUGAUGUUGCUUACGGCGAGAGACACCAUCCUCGAUUGCCAAGAGAUAUGCGGGGUUCCUACAUUGCAAAAGAGGUUCUGAAUGUUUUAACAAGCCGAUUUGAGAGAAUCGAGGAG